rnacentral:tRNA from 1 species
AUUAUUAUGGCAGAUUAGUGCAAUUAAUUUUAGAAAUUAAAUUAUAUAUAAAUUUAUAUUAAUAAUU